GUACUACUUCCUCCGUCCGGAAAUACUUAUCCUAGAAAUGGAUAUAAUGGAUGUAUCUAUAANUAAAAUAAGUCUAGAUACAUUCAUUCUUAGGACAUGUAUUUUCGGACGGGGGGAGUACGUA
rfam:Hordeum vulgare subsp. vulgare, WGS project CAJW01000000 data, contig: morex_contig_93012